GGGAGGGGAGGGGAGUGUUCUGGGGGACAUCACCCAUAAGCAGAAGGCUUUACUCCAAGGGUCUUGUCCAGGGUUUCUAUGGAGAAGUUCAUAGUGGAGUACACAGCUUGGGGGUAGAUCUGCAGCUAGAGGGCUUAAAGCUGUAGGACUACAGAGAGAAAAACUGUCCCCUACAAAUUAAAAGGCAGAGUGAGGUUGUCCAGGGAGGAUACUUUGAAGAAUUCUGAGAGUCCUAUCAGAUAAAGCCUAAAUCAAACAGGAAGAAGUUAAAUCAAGAACUAGCACUAUGGGCAGGUUGCCUCCAGCAAGUACAAUCCCAACACACACACAUCCCAACACACACACACACACACACACACACACACACCCCUCACUAGCACUACUUUGCUUAGGUUGUUUGCUUUGGGAAGUGGGACCAGAUCCAGAUGGCAUUACAAAUUGCCCCACAUCCUGGCUUAGGCACUUGAAGAGGCUUGGGGUAUGGGGAAGGGGACAGGUUGAGGCUCUUAUUUUGAGCCCUGCAGUUGGUGAACUCAUUGAUUCCCUCCCUUCUACUCUGUGGCUACCACUGUUUCUAUGCAAGAGGCUAGGGAGGAGGGAGAUGAGCAAGUGGACUGUGGACCCCCCCCCUGGAGACCUGAGUCCAAAACUGUAGGUUUGGCAGUGAUGAGCAGUUGAAGAGCAGCAGGCCCCUAAACUAUAAACAUCGGAAGUGAAAAUUCUUUUUAAUCGCAAUGAAUGAAAAGCUCUCUGGAUCCCCUGGAAGAUGGUGUGAAGGAAGCCCUCUUCGGCGCCAGUUCGAGAGCCAACCAGGAUGCUCCAAGGUCAGGUAUGGAAGAG
rnacentral:lncRNA from 1 species